AUUGAACGCUGGCGGCAGGCCUAACACAUGCAAGUCGAGCGGAUGAAGGGAGCUUGCUCCUGGAUUCAGCGGCGGACGGGCGAGUAAUGCCUAGGAAUCUGCCUGGCAGUGGGGGAUAACGUCCGGAAACGGGCGCUAAUCCCGCAUACGUCCUGAGGGUGAAAGUGGGGGAUCUUCGGACCUCACGCUAUUAGAUGAGCCUAGGUCGGAUUAGCUAGUUGGUGGGGUAAAGGCCUACCAAGGCGACGAUCCGUAACUGGUCUGAGAGGAUGAUCAGUCACACUGGAACUGAGACACGGUCCAGACUCCUACGGGAGGCAGCAGUGGGGAAUAUUGGACAAUGGGCGAAAGCCUGAUCCAGCCAUGCCGCGUGUGUGAAGAAGGUCUUCGGAUUGUAAAGCACUUUAAGUUGGGAGGAAGAGCAGUAAGUUAAAACCUUGCUGUUUUGACGUUACCAACAGAGUAAGCACCGGCUAACUUCGUG
rnacentral:rRNA from 1 species